rnacentral:lncRNA from 1 species
CAAUAAAUUGAGUUUGUUUUCCUGUCUCUAGAGUGAGUGGCCACACUUUCUCUCUCUAAAUCACUGUUUCUCUAUCACUCUCUCUCUCUCUUCUUCACUUCAACAAGUAGUGUAUAGUGUAGUAGUUUAUGUUACUAGUGUAUUCUUCUUCAGGUGGAAAAAGUGAAAUGACAAAAGUAACCUUGAGUUUUCUAAGUUGUGUCAAAACCAAAGGCAUGUGUAUCU